GACGAGCGCUGGCGGCGUGCUUAACACAUGCAAGUCGAACGAUGAACUUGGAGCUUGCUCUGGGGGAUUAGUGGCGAACGGGUGAGUAACACGUGAGUAACCUGCCCUGGACUCUGGGAUAACUUCGAGAAAUCGGAGCUAAUACCGGAUAGGACCUUGCACCGCAUGGUGUGGGGUGGAAAGUUUUUCGGUUUGGGAUGGACUCGCGGCCUAUCAGCUUGUUGGUGAGGUAAUGGCUCACCAAGGCGUCGACGGGUAGCCGGCCUGAGAGGGUGACCGGGCACACUGGGACUGAGACACGGCCCAGACUGCUACGGGAGGCAGCAGUGGGAAUAUUGCACAAUGGGCGCAAGCCUGAUGCAGCAACGCCGCGUGCGGGAUGACGGCCUUCGGGUUGUAAACCGCUUUUAGUAGGGAAGAAGCCUUCGGGUGACGGUACCUGCAGAAAAAGGACCGGCUAACUACGUGCCAGCAGCCGCGGUAACAC
rnacentral:rRNA from 1 species